rnacentral:rRNA from 1 species
UACGUAGGGUGCGAGCGUUAAUCGGAAUUACUGGGCGUAAAGCGUGCGCAGGCGGUUAUUUAAGUCAGGUGUGAAAGCCCUGGGCUUAACCUAGGAAUUGCGCUUGAGACUGGAUAGCUUGGAGUGCGGCAGAGGGAGGUGGAAUUCCACGUGUAGCAGUGAAAUGCAUAGAUAUGCCAUAGAACACCAAUUGCGAAGGCAGCUGGCUAGACCUAUAUUGACGCUGAGGCACGAAAGCGUGGGGAGCGAACAGG